rnacentral:rRNA from 1 species
UACGAAGGGUGCUAGCGUUGUUCGGAAUCACUGGGCGUAAAGCGCGCGUAGGCGGCUUUCCAAGUCAGGGGUGAAAUCCUUGGGCUCAACCCAAGAAUUGCCUUUGAAACUGGGAGGCUGGAGUAUUGGAGGGGAUAGCGGAAUUCCUAAUGUAGAGGUGAAAUUCGUAGAUAUUAGGAGGAACACCGGUGGCGAAGGCGGCUAUCUGGCCAAUAACUGACGCUGAGGCGCGAAAGCACGGGGAUCAAACAGG